CAGUCGAACGGAGAUUAUACGCAGAGGCGAUUUCGGUCAAAUCAUGUGUAAUCUUAGUGGCGGACGGGUGAGUAACGCGUGGGUAACCUGCCUUACACUGGGGGAUAACACUUAGAAAUAGGUGCUAAUACCGCAUAAGCGCACGAAGCCGCAUGGAUUUGUGUGAAAAACUCCGGUGGUGUAAGAUGGACCCGCGUCUGAUUAGCUUGUUGGCGGGGUAACGGCCCACCAAGGCGACGAUCAGUAGCCGGCCUGAGAGGGUGGACGGCCACAUUGGGACUGAGACACGGCCCAAACUCCUACGGGAGGCAGCAGUAGGGAAUCUUCCACAAUGGGCGAAAGCCUGAUGGAGCAACGCCGCGUGGGUGAAGAAGGUCUUCGGAUCGUAAAACCCUGUUGUUAGAGAAGAAAGUGCGUGAGAGUAACUGUUCACGUUUCGACGGUAUCUAACCAGAAAGCCACGGCUAACUACGUGCCAGCAGCCGCGGUAAUACGUAGGUGGCAAGCGUUAUCCGGAUUUAUUGGGCGUAAAGGGAACGCAGGCGGUCUUUUAAGUCUGAUGUGAAAGCCUUCGGCUUAACCGGAGUAGUGCAUUGGAAACUGGGAGACUUGAGUGCAGAAGAGGAGAGUGGAACUCCAUGUGUAGCGGUGAAAUGCGUAGAUAUAUGGAGGAACACCAGUGGCGAAGGCGGCUUCCUGGUCUGCAACUGACACUGAGGCGCGAAAGCGUGGGGAGCAAACAGGAUUAGAUACCCUGGUAGUCCACGCCGUAAACGAUGAGUGCUAAGUGUUGGGGGUCGAACCUCAGUGCUGAAGUUAACGCAUUAAGCACUCCGCCUGGGGAGUACGGUCGCAAGACUGAAACUC
rnacentral:rRNA from 1 species